AUACGGGGGGUGCAAGCGUUAAUCGGAAUUACUGGGCGUAAAGCGCGCGUAGGCGGUUUGCACAGUCGGAUGUGAAAGCCCAGGGCUCAACCUUGGAACUGCAUACGAUACUGGCAAACUAGAGUGUGAGAGAGGAUAGUGGAAUUUCCGGUGUAGCGGUGAAAUGCGUAGAUAUCGGAAGGAACAUCAGUGGCGAAGGCGACUGUCUGGCUCAACACUGACGCUGAGGUGCGAAAGCGUGGGUAGCAAACAGGAUUAGAAACCCUAGUAGUCC
rnacentral:rRNA from 1 species